AACGAACGCUGGCGGCAUGCCUAACACAUGCAAGUCGAACGAAGCCUUCGGGCUUAGUGGCGCACGGGUGCGUAACACGUGGGAAUCUGCCCCUUGGUUCGGAAUAACAGUUAGAAAUGACUGCUAAUACCGGAUGAUGACGAAAGUCCAAAGAUUUAUCGCCGAGGGAUGAGCCCGCGUAGGAUUAGGUAGUUGGUAGGGUAAUGGCCUACCAAGCCGACGAUCCUUAGCUGGUCUGAGAGGAUGAUCAGCCACACUGGGACUGAGACACGGCCCAGACUCCUACGGGAGGCAGCAGUGGGGAAUAUUGGACAAUGGGCGAAAGCCUGAUCCAGCAAUGCCGCGUGAGUGAUGAAGGCCUUAGGGUUGUAAAGCUCUUUUACCAGGGAUGAUAAUGACAGUACCUGGAGAAUAAGCUCCGGCUAACUCCGUG
rnacentral:rRNA from 1 species